GCACUCGUGGCCGAGAAGCUCAGGCACGCGACUGCAAAUCGCGUCUACCCCGGUGCAAAUCCGGGCGAGUGCUCCA
rnacentral:tRNA from 1 species